ACACAAGCCAUGCAUGCCCGCGCACCCGGGAGGCGGCGGACGGCUCAGGACAACGGUUGCACCCCCCGCGGCGGUCCCUGCUAGCCGGACACCGCUGGCAACCCGGCGCCAAGACGUGCGCGCAAGGGCGGGCGCCCGCGGGCGAGCAGCGUGACGCAGCGACGGCCCGCCCGGGCUUCCGGGGCAUCACCCGGUCGGCGCGGUCGCGGCGCGCCGAGGGCCCGACG
rnacentral:rRNA from 1 species